rnacentral:lncRNA from 1 species
UAUCAGAACCUAACUGACCUGAGGAAAAGAAAUACUCAACUCCAGCAAGCUCCAGCCUUCCAAAUGGAGGAGGAGAAAACCCAACUCCAGCCCACUUCAGCUAUCUUGUCCCACAUAAAGGGGAAGUGGAAGAAACCUGAGAAGCAGGCAUGAAGUUCACAGUCCAGAGACCUUGCCAUCGUAUCCCCUUUUGGAGACACAAGCCAGGAAGGAAGCUCUUCAGUGCAGCUGUGAAUAGAGAAAUGCUGGCUGAGGUUUUGGAGACACUGGGUGAUCAUUCCCAGUGAAAUUUUUAGAUCCCUGGGGACAUGAGCUGCUUUGUCUUUUCCAAGGUCAGGAUAAACAGAAUAACUUCAGGCUUCUCUACCCAGAAAGAACAUGUGGCAUAAAUAUCAACUGCAGAAUAAAUAUGAUUAAUCUGGUACAUGGACGAAGAUGUUUUCUAGGAGAUGCUUAUCCUGGGAUGAGAGCUUUCAUAAGCAUUGAUAUUUACAUGACUCUUACCGUGUGUCAGGAACUGUUCUAAUUGUUUUACCUAUGUCAAUUCAUUUGAUAGUCACAACCACUGAAAGGAGUAAGU